GACGUAGGGCGCGAGCGUUGUCCGGAUUUAUUGGGCGUAAAGAGCUCGUAGGCGGCUUGUUGCGUCGACUGUGAAACCCGCGGCUUAACUGCGGGCUUGCAGUUGAUACGGGCAGGCUAGAGUUCGGUAGGGGAGACUGGAAUUCCUGGUGUAGCGGUGAAAUGCGCAGAUAUCAGGAGGAACACCGAUGGCGAAGGCGGGUCUCUGGGCCGAUACUGACGCUGAGGAGCGAAAGCGUGGGGAGCGAACAGG
rnacentral:rRNA from 1 species